rnacentral:misc_RNA from 1 species
CAAUCAUGUGAUAGGUUUUAGUCAAGACAGAAUUCUUGAAGAAAGGAUUUGUAUCGAAGAAGAAUUCAAGCUUAAAGCCCUUUCGAUCAUCAAGUUUGCACCACUUGAUAUCCUUGAGGUACUUCAAGGCUUCUUCAUCACGCUCAGAGAUCUCCUCUGCCAAUAUCUCGUUAGUCUUCAUUGCAGUCAGCCAAAAGUUGGGAACACCUUUCUCUGGCACAUUUUCAGUCUCGUUAUCGUCGCCCUGGAUCAUGGGAGCUUCAUCAACACCCUCCACUUCAACAACCCCAUUUACUAUUUCAUAUCUCUUUGAAUACAAUGGUUCAUACAGCUUUUGGUAUUUAGCUUCUAGUGCAGCCCUCUCCUCGAAAAACUUUGCUUCCAGUUCAUCAUGUUGGCUCUGAAGCUCUCUUAGAACAUCUACACGCUUCCUAACUGGUGGCGUCAAAGUCUCGAGUAUAUCCAUAUGCUUCCCAGCCAGAUUCUGAAGCUUAUCCUUGAGCGCGUUGACUAAGCCAGCACGAUCCUCGGCACUCAAAGCGGCGGCAGCGGCGGGGAGGGAACCGCCGAGAUCGGACAUGUCGAACUGAUCUUUAUUGGAAUUAUUACUCAUGGUGCACGGAUUAGAAAUCUGUGUUGGUUUUGAAACGACAGAAAUGAAUAAGGGGAAAAGGAGGGAACUGCAAAAAGGGUUUUGGGUGCGAGCAAAUUUAUAAAGCGACCUUCGGCGGUG